UGUAAAAACUACAUGGCUGUGGGAGAUGUUCAUAUCCUGGAGCAGCAUGAAGAACCAUCUGUGAAAGAGAUCCAGGAAGAUAAAACCGAUAAGCUAAUGGUUCCGAAGAAAUGGGUUUUGUUUCUCUCCCAAAUAAAUGCCCUGCAAGUACAUGCAAUGCACUGCCAGGAGCUGCUUGAAAAGCUGUUUCUUCCAACUCAUGAGUGCCUACAUAGUGGGCCAGAAAUUUCCGUAGAACACGUGCACGGUCGCCUUUGUUUCUCUCCCAAAUACAUGCCCUGCAAGUACAUGCAAUGCACUGCCAGGAGCUGCUUGAAAAGCUGUUUCUUCCAACUCAUGAGUGCCUACAUAGUGGGCCAGAAAUUUCCGU
rnacentral:lncRNA from 1 species